rnacentral:piRNA from 1 species
UNUCACUCUUCCUAGUGUGCUCUCAUGC